GCUCCACCUGCCUGUGGCGUCCUGGCGCAGCGCGCCUCGCGCCCGGGUCCCCGCGCUGUCUCCUCGCGCCCGUGGGACGCCAGGCGCUCCUUCUGCUCCUGCCGCCCGUGCUGGCCGCGCUGGGCGGCCUCGGGGGCUCCGCGACAGAUGAAAUACAGUGUCAGAUGACAAGGCAAGCUGCAUGUGGUGGGAGAUGCAUUCCUGUGGCCUGGCUCUGCAACGGAGAGCAGGAGUGCCCGGAUGGGGCGGACGAGCAGUGUGGGACAGAAGCACUCUCCCUGAUCAAUGCUACCACUGCAACUGGAACUCAGAAUUCGAAGGCUUUGGCCUCACCUUUGGGGACUUCACGUCACUCAAGCACGACUGAGAGGGUGUUGCUCUCCCACUGGUUAUGGAAGAUACCCACCUGAGAUGCAGCUGUUUGCUAAUGCAGCUUUGCAGGUGCGAAAUCUUCAUCAAGCGCUAAGCACUGAAGAAACAGUUGUAAGGCAUCACCUAAAAAACCAGCAUCAUGGAGGACUUUUCCUUUCCUGAAGUAGACCUUCAAUAAAAGCACAUAUACACGA